ensembl:lncRNA
GGUGUGUCACUUUGGGUGUGUCUUGAGGGUUAAAGUUAGAUGCAUUCAUCUGUUUACCUCACCUGGUUUUGACGAGCAAUAAAGAGGAACUUCAAAAAAAAAACCUCACAAACGUCAUCAUUCUCAUAGACACCUGGACAAUCCUGCAACAGAAUUUCCACACGCACCAUUUUAGGACUUCGUGGCUGACUCCUUUUUGCUUCUUCUUCCUUCAUCUAAGAUGACCACCCCUUCCCUUCCUCCCGAAGAAAGAGGCAUUAACCCCAACCUGUCCACCUGCCGAGAGUCUCAGUGCAACAAUCAUGGUAACUGUGUGACUCCUACGGGUGGUGGUACAGAUCUAGUAUGUAACUGUGAUCUGGGCUACAAGGGUGACUCCUGCGAGGACACGAUCAAUGGGGCAUUAAGUGUACCUUUGACCCUGAGCGUGUUUGCUGUCCUCGUUGGCCUGGUGAUCCUGGCUUUCAUCGCUGCCAAGUUCCGGCAGAAACAAAAGAAGAAGCGAAGGAAACUACUGGAAGAAAAAGUCUACAGCAAUACUGCAUAAUGUGGAUAACUGUCGAACAGAUAAACUUUGGUGAUCAAAUUGUGACUACCACUAUAAGAAUUAUGCUGCAACAUCCCACAGACUCGAGCAAUAACUUCACAAACUGAGUGCAAAGGCGUAUGGGAGAGUUACUUCUUAUACAGUAUUUUUCCAUUUGUACAAAAAGUAUCUAUCUCUAAUACCGCAAGCCACAUGCUGAUUCAUUUUGUGCCUCUUCUCUGAAACCAACUAAACUGAUGCCAAUAGAGUCAUCCAGGCAAAACGUGCAGUGCAAAUGUCUGUAUUUUAAUCAACAUCAGCUUCCUUGAUCUCAUUUCUCAAACACUAAGGCAUGCUUCUGCAAGUAGUUUAAACUCUGACUCUUGUUAGUAAAACAAUACAAAUGUUCACCUAUAAUUUACCUUCUCUGAGGGAGCUGCAGUUUAGCUUAAGUAAAGCAAGUGGUUGUUAUUUUGACAGUGAAGGCUCCAGACAGAUGACAUUUACGAUGAUUCUGUAGACCGUUUAAUGGGAAUCUGAUAAGCCAGAAGCUGAUUUGACUCCGUCCAGUUUAUAUAUAUUUUAUUUAGAAAAUAUGCACUUUUUUUCCACUCUUGUGGUUUUAUUUCAUUGCUAUGUUACGUACAGCAGUUGCUGCUGGUAUUAUAUUGUUUCCCUUGAAUUUCUUUCUUUCUUUUUUUUUAAGGCGUGCGUGUGUGUGUGUGUGUGUGUGUGUGUGUGUGUGUGUGUGUGUGUGUGUGUGUGUGUGUGUGUGUGUGUGUGUGUGUGUGUGUGUGUGUGUGUGUGUGUGUGUGUGUGUGUGUGUGUGUGUGUGUGUGUGUGUGUGUGUGUGUGUGUGUGUGUGUGUGUGUGUGUGUGUGUGUGUGUGUGUGUGUGUGUGUGUGUGUGUGUGUGCAUAUUAGUGCCUUUUAACACUUUGGGUUUUUGGGAAGUAUUUCUACCUAGUUCUAAGUGCCCUGCCUUUAAUUCUUUUGAUGCUGUGGUAACAUAAAUGCACCUGUACAUCACUGGCCUGCUUUCGUUCAGAUUUCUGUUCAUGCUUAUGAAAAUAAUGCAUUUUCAAUCUGUGCAGACACAAUCCUGCAUGGCUGUCAGUAACAUGCACAUAUUGUACAGAUGGUAGGAGAGCGGUCAGAGCUGAUUUCAGUCUUGGCAUUUUCAAAACCUGAUAGUAUGUGUGCUUUUAAAUGAGUUUCUGUGCCCUCUGAAUCUCAGGCCACAAAAUGAUUACCGCUCAAUAAACUUCUGGACCUGUAAAGAUGAAAGCUGCAGAGUAUCUUGGUACAGAAUAAGUAAUUAAGUUCCUCAAGCUUGUAGCCAGUGUUAAGUGCCUACUGUAUUGCUUCUUUAUUAUGUUCACAACCACCUAAGUUAUUAUAUUUGUACAGACCUUUUACCUGGUAGCUACUGGUGACCACAAACAUAAACUGGUCAUCAACAACACAGUAGCAAUAAGUUUUGUAAAUAUCUGCCCCUCUAACCACUGGGUAAAAAUCACAAAACGGUAAUGUUACUGUAGAUUUUCAGAUCUGCCAUAUACAAUACUCAAUUAUAUUAUCGUGUUUUUAUGUGUGCAUGAAUGUGCUGGACAUUUAUAUUAAUAUGACCAUUGUUGAUGAGCAGGGUUUCUCAGUCUAUGCAUCCUAUAGUGUCUUCCACUGGCUUGUAUACAGUUUGAAUUAUAUAGACAGAAGAGGAUGUCUCACUGUGUUGUUUACACUCACAGUAUUUGAAGAAAAGAAAUGCACAUUAACUUUUGUAUGCUUUCAAAAUAAUAUGAAAAAACUCUGUAAUAUUUAUAUGCAACCCCUGUAUCAGUGCACACAGAUUUGUAUCAAUAAAGUUGAUUAUUGGUGUUUUCUUUUCUUUGGUACGUAAGUAAAAAGUACAGGUUUUCUACCUGCCAUUAACUAGACAGUCAACUUAUACUGCAGGGUGUCACAGUGUCUUAUCACUGGGGAUAGAUAGGCUAGGCUGUCUUUGUGCACCUGUUACAGUAAACCUCUUUUUCUGGCAUCCAGUGACACGAUAAUAUCAGUUUCAGUGUUUACCAAACUCAGGUUCUCAGGCUGUGAAUUUGCAGUGUCACAGCCUGAGAACCUAACUGCAUUUACUAUAUAAGAAAAUAUGUAACAACAAGGAAGUGGAAGCCUCUGCCAUCAGGGUGAAACUAUGUCAGCACCUGCUGUCCUAACAAGGAACAGACUUUGCAUGUUUGUUUUCCAGAAGGAGGAGUCUCUUGUAUCAUGGCAAAAAUGAACUGUAGUAUUUCUGACAACUGGCUUUAGUUGCUAAAAUGUAAAACAAGACUGUUUGUGCUUUCUAGCAUGCACUCCUUCACAAAAAUAUUUUAUUUAGCAGGAGGAGAAGCUACACUUCAAUUUUUUUGCUCCAAAGCAGGUCCGCUGGUGUAGUAUUUGGUGUCGAGUGAAACCACUAAUACACAUUUUUGGUCCAUUUCUACAAACUGUUUUUGUGUCAAAGAAAAAUGCAGACUAGGCUUACAUCUGUAAGAACCUGGUGAUAGAUUUUGCUACUUUCUGUUGUUGUUCCUUUAGCACUUCAUUAAAACACCUGAGAAUUACCCUAUAAAGGACUAGAUGGCACUACAAAACCUAUGCUGUGUGAACAAUAAUAUGGUUUUAAUUUGAACUGAAGAAAAUAUCCACUCACUAACGGAGAGUAUUCCUGGGUCUUGAAUAAAUUCAAAAAUUUGACACUUCUGAUCAUUAGUGUUGAUCAAAAAUGACAAAGAUAUGCAAUUAGAAGUACAUCGCUCAAGUGUAACUAAUUAAGAUUACACUAAAAUUGUUGCAUCGUUUUUUGGCUAUGUGGUCAUUCAAUAUAUGCAGUAAAUUAUGAUUUCCAACUUGCUACGGGAAUGAGAAUUGGAACCUUAUGAGUAAAUGAGGAUUUUAUUUAUUAGACUGCUUCAUUGGGCUCAUCAGACUGAUUUGAAAUUAAAUGGAGGGACAGAUAACACAUUAGACAGUGGUGGUGGUGUUAAUAAGCUGUGGUCACCGUACAAGAGGAGCAGAUAAUGGCAGAUAAUUUCAAAUGCAAUGUUUAUCCAAAUAUGAGCAAACACACACCCUGUUUCUGUGCAGUUUGUCACACUAUGCCUGUAAGCUAAAUAUAUAAUUGCUGUAUUUCCCAGUGAGAGUAAAGAAUGAGAGAUGACUUACUCAGAACUCAGAAAGAUGCAAGAAAGCCAGGACAAGAGAGGAAGAGAAAUGAACACAUUCUGUAAUGAUCUUGGAGGUUGAGCAGCAUCUUUAAAUCUCUUCAUGAGGGUGUGUGCGUCUUUGUCACAAAACAUACUUGAUGAGAACGAGAAGCUGCAAUAGCUCCCCCCCCCCCCCGGAGCCAGAGGGAGCCAGAGAAAGACCAUAGGAGAUCCGGG